AACCAUAGAAACCUGCGGAGUACCUGCGGAGGGAUCAUUACCACGCGAAUUCAAAACGCUCACGCAAGGCUGGCAGUCUGCCACAUUUGUUUGUGGUUGAUUGUCGCCGCUACAUGAGUUUCCCAAAUUUGCUGUGUGCGAAUUGUAGUUGUGUGCAAACGCUCUACUUUACGCUUGCUUUCCACCCAUGUGUCAUGGUAGUCAGUGCGUAACAACACUGGCUGGUGGGAAGCGCAGGUA
rnacentral:misc_RNA from 1 species